ACCAGGUGCUGUGCUAGGUGCUCAAAGAUUUUAUCAUACAGUUGGAGUCCUCAAGGAGCUUAUAUUUUAGGUAGAGAGGUAAUAAAAAUGUAAAAGAAUAAAGCAAAGGAAUGUAAAUUUAAUGGAAGCAGGUAAGUACAGAAAAUUAGAGGAAAUAGAGAUCCUUGUGGGGUUUUGUAAUUGUGGCACAGGGUGCUAGCUAAUUCCCUCUCCCCUCUCCUUAGCACUCUCCCUGCCUUCCACACAGAGCAUUUCUCCUCCUUCCUUUUAGUAAUAAAACUCUGAAUUGUAGCUAGGCUCAGACUCCCAGAUACAGACUACAUUUUCCACCCUCCUUUGCAGCUAGGUGUGGUCAUAUGACUAAGUACUGCCCCAUGAGAUGCGAGGGGUAAGUGAUGUGUGCAACUUCCGUUAUACCCUUCAAAGGAAGCUGCUUUGUUCUCAAUUUUCUCUUUUGCCUUACUGCAGGCUGAAAUGUGGACCUGUGCCUUUGCCCUUACUGAAGCUGCCAACAUGUAAAUAAGUAGCUCUACUAGAAGAUCUCGGAAUAAUCUCAUAGAUAAGAGUGGGCUACCCAUCCCCAACUGCCUGCUUACCUAUGAGACAAAUGACUUGGUGCCCAAAAAGAAGGCCUCUUUUUGAUACAUUAUGGCUUGGCUUUAUUUACCUGGAUCCAGAUGAAAACUUCAAAAUUUUCCCUAAGAACAUUUUGGUGACCAAGAAAAUUGAACAGGAAAAGUUCUAGCCUGGAACUUAGGAGAAAAUAGGCGCUAGAAGAUUCCUCUCAUCUUAUCUUCCUGGAGAGGGAAGAGACUGGCCCCACUGACAUUCAGUGGUAUGCAAUGGAGACUCAAAGACUGUGUGUGGCAAGGAGGGAUCCCCCCUGCCCCACCCCACAGACUCUAAUCAAAUGGCAAAUGACAGCAGGCUUUAAUGAGACUGGAGUGAUUUCAUGAAGACCUGGAGCACAUUAUAUUAUAAUCUACUUUACAAAUAAGGCUGGUUGAUUAAUUUGGUGUGGUCAUAGUACUUAAGAUAGGAGCCCUUAGUUUUGGAAGCAAUUGGUUUCAGAAAAGCCAUCGCGGUGGGUCUGCAACAGUAGAAGGUCGAAGUGACACCCAGAGAUGAAAUGUUACUAUUGUCAAGGUGUAUUGCUGAUUUGCUGUGUGUUAUACAUUAAGAAAUAUAAGCUCACUGAACCCUAGCUCCUCAUGGACAAACCCAUCAGGGACAGUCCUCAAAAGUGUAUUUCUGAGUUGGUACAGUAUUCAUAUUCAUUUAUGAUUUCAUUUUUGUUUCAUAGACCACCAAUAAAUUUGGGAAAUAACGCAUCUACAUAUCCCUUCUUGGACAGUCACAAUGUAUAUGGCACAUUGAUGACUUUGAGAAGUCCUGCACUAAAGGUUAUUCACCUCGUUUGACCACUAAUACUUCUUAUUCAUAAAAAAACUUAUUUGUCAAUAAAGAUAGUCUCAGCAAAGCUGAUGUAUUAAAAAACUUCUAAGCUUCAGUGGCUUAAAAUAGCAAGGUUUAUUUAUCGCUCAUGCUAUAUAUCCAUUGUUGGUUGACUGGAAAUCUUACACCACAGUCUUUACUCUGAGAUCCAAAGUGUCAGAGCCACCAUCAUCUGAGCAUUUCUUGUUGCUCUGGAAGAGAGAAGGUGAGCUCUGGGUGUUUAACAGGUAAAUAUUGCAGCCUGAAAGUGAUUCAUAAUUGUGGAAUUUUGGCUCAGAACUCAUUGGUCAGAAGUAGUCACAUGGGCUCACUCAAACAUGAGGGGCUGAGAAAGUACCAUCCUACCAUGUGUCUAAAAUGUAGACAGCCAGAAAUAUUCAGUGGAUAGCACUAAUGACAACUAACCCAGUUAAAGUGGCUAAACACUAAUGUUCAUUAAAGUAUAGCUGGGACCCACUGCUGUUCAUGGUUUUAAAAACAAGGAUUGGGGACUUCCAGUUUUAAAAUGACAGCAUAGAAGCAAACUGGCUUCACUCCCUCCCACUCCCUCCCUCCCCCAAAACAAAUAUACAGCACUGAGAUUUUCACCAGCAACAACCCGUAACUCAAAUAUGAGGAUGAAAUAGUUCCCAAGGCCACAGGGAAGUGUAAAAACUCUGAGCAGAUGGUAAGAGAAGCAGACUUCCACAUCUGUGAUGCCUCUCCCUCCCCAUUCAUUCUGACAACAAGUACAUGGAAAAUCUUCCCCAUGUAGAAACUCAUGGUAUCUACACUGGAAAAAAUGAAAUUGAGGUGGUAAACUAACUUUCCUACUAUCUUGGGUUCCCUGGAAGGAAACUUUCUUGCCUUAACCCAAAGGAACUAUUGUGACUGCCUGAAGAAGGAAAUAUCCCUGAGGAAAGACAGAGACAAGGGAGGUAGGUGGAAUCACCAUCCCCAGCCCUGGAAACUGCCUGUAAGUUGGUCAAAGGAGAUGUCAAAUCAGAGUGGCUACUCAGCAGCACUAUGCUAUAGGAAGUAUGUUCCACAGGUCCCCUGGGCACAAACUCCUAGCCAGUCUUCCCACACCUCCAGGAUAAUGUCUUUGGGACCCCUCCCAUUUGGGACAGACAGCACUCCCAUCAUUUACUAGAGCAAGGCAAACCUGGGCUUAAAAUGGCAUCUGGAGCCAAAAAGGAGGCAGCAACUUAGUGGUAAGGAUUUGCUAAGCAAAUAUAUAUAUAUAUAUUUAAAGCCAGGAAGAGAAAAUGGAAAUAACUAAUCCUUUAAUGCAAAGACAUAGGUAUAUACCUACUAGAAACAGGAGCAAAUAGGGAACUAUGAUCUCCUCAGAAGGACAAAGCAAAAAUCCAGUGACUGAGCCUAACAAGAUGAUGAUUUGUGAGCUCUCCAACCAAGAAUUCAAAACAGCAAUUUUAAAGAAACUCAGUGAUCUCCAAGAUAACAUAGAAGAGCAAUUCAGAAAUUUAUCAGAGAAAUUUAACAAAGAGAUUGAAGUGAUUAAAAAAAUUAAACAGAAAUCUUGGAAUUGGAGAAAUACAUUUACUGAAUUGAAGAACUAAUUAAAGGCUCUCAACAGCAGGAUGGACCAAGCAGAGGAAAGAAUCAGUGAGCUCAAAGACCAAGUAUUUGAAAACACACAGUUAGAGGAUAAGAAAAGAAAAAGAAAAAAAAAAAAAGAACAGAAAAACCUAUGAGAUACAGAAAAUUUCCUUAAAGGACCAAAUCUAAGAAUUAUUGGUGUCCAAGGGGGAGCUAAGGAAGAGCAAGAGGUAGAAAGGUUAUUCAAAGGAAUAACUGAAAACUUUCCAAAACAUGAGAAAGAUAUAAGUAUCCAGGUACAGGAAAGUUUGAGAACACCAAAUAGAUUCAACCCAAAUAAGACUACCCCAAGGUAUAUAGUAAUCAAACUCUCAAAGGUCAGGGACAAAGAGAAAAUUCCAAAAGCAGUAAGAUAAAGCAAAUAAGAUGCAAGAGAGCUCCAAUUCAUCUGGCAACCAACUUCUCAAUGGAAACAAAAUAGGCCAGGAGGAAGUGGAAUGACAUUUUCAAAGUACUUAAGGAAAAAAAAAUACCAUCCAGAAUACUACAUCCAGAAAAAUUAUCCUUCAAAUAUGAAGGAGAGAGAAAGUCUUUCUCAAACAAAAGCUGAGAGAAUUCAGCACCACAAGAACCAUUUUUCAUGAAGUACUAAAGAGAGUUAUCUAAUCUGAAAGAAAAAAACCACUAAUGCGCAAAAGGAAAACUUUUCAAGCUAUAAAACCUGCUGGUAAAAUUAAAUACAUAGACAAACCCAGAAUACUCUAUUGCUUUAAUUGUGGUGUACAACCAAUUCAAAACUUUAGUAUGAAGCCCAAAAUACAAAUCUAUCAAAAACAAUGAUAGCUACAACAACCUGUUAAGAGAUAAGUAAUAUAAAAAUAUGUAAAUUGAGACAACUAGAAGUCCAAAUGUCAGGGGAGUGGAGUUAAAAUGUAAAUAUUUUGUGUGUUCCUUUUUUGCCUUUGUUUCUAGUCUUUAAUUUGUGAUAAGUCAUCAUCUCUUUCAAAGUAACUUGUUACAUCUAUAAAAUGUUUUUUGUAAUCCUCAUGGUAACCACACUGCAAAAAUCUAUAAUAGAUUCACUAAAAAUAAAAACAACUAAUCAAAACAUACUAUCAGAGAAAAUCACUUAAACACAAAUGAAGAUAGUAAGAAAGGAGAAAAUGAAGAGAGAGGUCUCAUAACAACCAGAAAACAGAUAACAAAUUGGCAUUAGUAAGUUCUUAAUUAUCAAUAAUAAAACAGAAUGUAAAUGGUCUCAAUUCUCCAAGUAAAAGGCAUACAGUGGCUGAAUGGAUAAAGAAACAAGACUCAACUAUAUGCUGCCUUCAAGAAACCCACUUCACCUAUAAAGACAGACUGAAAGUGAGGGGUGGAAAAAAUAUUCCAGGCAACUGGGAACCAAAAUAGAGCAGGAGUAGCUAUACUUAUAUCACAUAAAAUAGACUACAAAUUUAAGAUUAUAAAAAGAGACAAAGGACACUAUAUAAGGAUAAAGGAGUCUAUUAAGCAAAAGGAUAUAACAAUUGUAAAUAUCUAUGCGCCCAACACUGGAGCUCCCAAAUAUUUAAUGCAAACAUUAAUAGAUAUAAAGAGAGAUAUCUACUGAAAUACAAUAAUAGUAGGGGACUUUAACAACCUGCUCUCAACAGUGGACAGUUCAUCCAGACAGCAAAUCAACAGAAAAACAGGGGAGUUAAACUACAUACUAGAUAUAACAGGCCUAGCUGACAUUUAGAGAACAUUUUACCCAACUGCAGCAGAAUACACAUGCUUUAGCAUAUGAACAUUCUCCAGAAGAGACCAUAUCUUAUGCCACAAAACUCGUCUAAACAAAAUUAAAAAAUCCAGGAAUCAUAUCAAUUAUCUUUUCUCACCACAAUGGAAUAAAACUAGAAAUCAAUAACAAGAGGCAACUCAGAUAAUACACAAACACAUGCAAAUGAAACAACAUCCUCCUGAACAACCAAUGGUCAAUGAAGAAAUUAACAAGAAAAUUUAAAAAUUUCUUGAAACAAAUGAAAAUGGAAAUAGAACAUACCAUAAUUUAUGGGAUAAAGCAAAAGCAGUACUAAGAGGGAAGUUUAUAGCAAUAAAUGUCUAUAUCAAAAAAGGAGAAAGACUUCAAAUAACCUAAUGAAGCACCUCAAAGAACUAAAAAGGCAAGAACAAACUAAACCCAUUUGUAGAAGGAAAGACAUAAUAAAUAUCAGAACAGAAAUAAAUGAAAUUGAGAUUUAAAAAAUUACAGAAGAUCAACAAAACAAAAAGUUGGUUUCUUGAAAAGGUAAACAAAAUUGACAAACCUUUAGCUAGACUAAUAAAAAGAAGAGAGAAUCAAAUAAAUAACAUCAGAAAUCAAAAAGAAGACACAACAACUGAGAUCUCAGAAAUAUAAAGUGUCAUUAGAGACUAUCAUGAACAAUAAUAAACCAACAAAUUGGAAAAUUUAGAAGAAAUAAAUUCCUUGAUACACGCAAUCUACCAAGAUUAAACACCACGAAGAAAUAGAAAACUUCAACAAACCAAUAAUGAGUAGCAAGAUCAAAGCCAUAAUAAAAAGUCUCCCAUCAAAGAAAGGCUCAGGGGCAGAAAAGCCCAAGAUAAGACCCACUGGCUUGGAAUUCCAGCCAGCUACCAUGAACAACAUUGCACCUCCCUAAGAAGGAGCUCCCAGGGGGAAGGGCAGGCCAUAUCUUUGCUGUUUGGGUGCCGUAGCCAUUCCAGCCUUCAGGCUUUGGAGAGUCUGAAUUGACCCGUGGUGGAAGGGAUCUCCCAGCACAGCACAGCUGCUCUACCAAAAUGUGGCCAACUGCUGCUUUAAGCGGAUGCCUGACCCCAUUCCUCCUCACUGGGCAGAACCUCCCAACUGAGACCUCCAGCCACCUCUGUCCAAGCUCUCCAGCCCACAGAGAUCUGAAUUCCCCCUGGGAUGGCUCUCCCAGAAGGAGGGGGCAGGCUGCCAUCUUUGCUGUUACGGUGACUUAGCUGUUCCAGCCUUUGAGCUUUGGAGAGUGGAAGCCAACCCAGGGCAGAAGGGAUCCUCCAGCACAGCAUAGCUGCCCUACCAAAAUGUGGCCAGACUGCUGCUUUAAGUGGGUACCUGAUUCUGUUCCUCCUCACCGGGCAGGACCCCCCAACCAGGGGCUCCAGCAACCCGUGCCCAUGUUCUCCAACCGACAGAGAUGUGAAUUUCCUCUGGGACAGAGCUCCCAUGGGGAGGGGCAGGCUGCCAUCUUUGCUGUUAGGGUGACUUAGCUGCUCCAGCCUUUGGGUUUCGGAGUGUCUGAGGUGACUGGAAGCAGAAGUGGACCCCCAGCGCAGCACAGCUGCCCUACCAAAACGUGGCCAGACUGCUUUUUUCCUGAUCCCGUUCCUUCUCACGGGGCGGGCGGGACUUCCCAACUGGGGUCUCUAAUCAUUUCCUACAGAUGCCUUUGGGUGGGCAACAAGUCCAUGACUCCUUGGGACAAAGCUCUCAGAGAGAGGGGCAGGCUGCCAUUUUUGCUGUUUCAUAGCCUUCACUGGGGACACCAGUUCUGGAAAAUCUGAGGUGACGAGGGACUGGAGUGGGCCCCAAGCAAACCACAGCAGCCCUACAGAAAAGUGGCCAGAUUGUUAUGUGGGUGACUGUUCCCAUAUCUCCUCACUGGACAGGUCCUCCAGGCCUGGGCCUCAAGCCAUCGCCCCCUACACCCCCACCCCCGCCACCCCUGCCAUCCCCACCAUCCCCCAUCACCCCUGCCACCGCCGCCCCCGCCAGAGCUACUGAGCCAGCACCAACUGAGCAACUCCCCAGACAGAACCUCUGGGGGCAACAAAAAAAUAAUUCUUUUGGAAAAUUUUAUGAAAACAAUUUUUUUCACUUAAAGUCCUCAGUGGAUUUCCAACAAUAGAUAACAAAAUCAUUUUCCAGCCAAUUCCUCACUGCUUUUCUCAAAUACAAAUGCUAUGUAACAGAAAACAUGAAUAAUUCUACAACACAGCUUAUUUCUUGGGUACUAGAGGGAGGUGUACCAUAAAUGCCCAUUUACAAUGUCUUCUGCACAGGUGUGCAAAGAGUUAAUGGUGUCAGAUAAAUCCCAUAAUAAUAGAAAAAAAGUUGGCAUAGAAUUCAUAUAAACAUUAAAAAGUAUGUAUUUUGUGCUACCAUGAUAACCUCUGAAAAUUCAUUUCUGAUGAAGUCUACUGAAUCAAAUUAAUGUCUUGGUACCUUGUUUGAUAGUUGGCCAUAACAGUAUCACACAAUUACACAGAACAAAAAGGCAGUGAUAAUGUUCAAAAAUAAGUACCUUGGUUCUGAGAUGUUACCUGUAUACCAAGAACAAUGAAGGUACUUAUCAGUGGUCAUUCAAAAGUCCUUAACUCACUGCUUCUCUGAGAAAUACAGGACGUGUUAAAUUCAUGUCAUUUCCUCAGGCACCUCCAAGUUCCUCUCCAGUUCUUCCUUACAUAUUUCCUAUAUACAAUCAUAUUUAAGUCACCUAAUAUAUGGAAAAUAGGUUGAGCAAUGCUUGGCACAUAGUAGUCACUAAGUAAGCAUUUAUUGUUAUCAUUA
rnacentral:lncRNA from 1 species